AUGUGGCCCAUCAAUAAUAAAAAAAAACAAAAACCCAAACAAAAUAUACACGAUAUAGAGAAAAAAGAGGACAACAACAAAAUCUCUCUUCCUCACUUCAUCAAUCUCUUUCAAAAUCAACAUUUUCUUCUCAACCAAUACACCUACAAAUCACACCAUCCACCAAAUCAACAAAAUACACAAACAUUAAGAUCCUCUUCUGUGAAUUUCUUACGCUUGUACAGACUUGGAAGUUAG